rnacentral:rRNA from 1 species
CCUACGGGUGGCACCAGUGAGGAAUUUUGCGCAAUGGGGGUAACCCUGACGCAGCAACGCCGCGUGAGUGAAGAAGGCCUUCGGGUCGUAAAGCUCUGUCAAGUGGGAAGAACCCGCAUCAGGUCAACAGGCUGAUGCGCUGACGGUACCACUGAAGGAAGCACCGGCUAACUCCGUGCCAGCAGCCGCGGUAAUACGGAGGGUGCAAGCGUUAUUCGGAAUCACUGGGCGUAAAGGGCGCGCAGGCGGCUGGGCAAGUCAGUAGUGAAAGCCCGGGGCUCAACCCCGGAAGUGCUGCUGAAACUGUCUGGCUUGAGUAUGGUAGAGGGAAGCGGAAUUCCUGGUGUAGCGGUGAAAUGCGUAGAUAUCAGGAGGAACACCGGUGGCGAAGGCGGCUUCCUGGACCAAUACUGACGCUGAGGCGCGAAGGCGUGGGUAGCAAACAGGAUUAGAUACCCUGGUAGUC